rnacentral:rRNA from 1 species
CCUGGUAGUCCACGCCGUAAACGAUGUCGACCAGCCGUUGGGUGCCUAGCGCACUUUGUGGCGAAGUUAACGCGAUAAGUCGACCGCCUGGGGAGUACGGCCGCAAGGUUAAAACUCAAAUGAAUUGACGGGGGCCCGCACAAGCGGUGGAGCAUGUGGUUUAAUUCGAUGCAACGCGAAGAACCUUACCUACUCUUGACAUCCUGCGAACUUGUGAGAGAUCACUUGGUGCCUUCGGGAACGCAGAGACAGGUGCUGCAUGGCUGUCGUCAGCUCGUGUUGUGAAAUGUUGGGUUAAGUCCCGUAACGAGCGCAACCCUUGUCCUUAUUUGCCAGCGCGUAAAGGCGGGAACUCUAAGGAGACUGCCGGUGACAAACCGGAGGAAGGUGGGGACGACGUCAAGUCAUCAUGGCCCUUACGAGUAGGGCUACACACGUGCUACAAUGGUCGGUACAAAGGGUUGCCAACUCGCGAGAGUGAGCCAAUCCCGAAAAGCCGAUCUCAGUCCGGAUCGGAGUCUGCAACUCGACUCCGUGAAGUCGGAAUCGCUAGUAAUCGUGGAUCAGAAUGCCACGGUGAAUACGUUCCCGGGCCUUGUACACACCGCCCGUCACACCAUGGGAGUGGACUGCACCAGAA